rnacentral:rRNA from 1 species
UACGUAGGGCGCAAGCGUUAUCCGGAAUUAUUGGGCGUAAAGAGCUCGUAGGCGGUUUGUCGCGUCUGCCGUGAAAGUCCGGGGCUCAACUCCGGAUCUGCGGUGGGUACGGGCAGACUAGAGUGAUGUAGGGGAGACUGGAAUUCCUGGUGUAGCGGUGAAAUGCGCAGAUAUCAGGAGGAACACCGAUGGCGAAGGCAGUGAUCUGGGCCAGUACUGACGCUGAGGAGCGAAAGCGUGGGGAGCAAACAGG